UUUAAAAGAGAGAAAACUUUCCAGCACUGGAAUUAAGGAUUUUUUGAGGUUUUUAUCAAAUUCUUGCCCAAUACAAGAUAUAUUCAUUCCGAGAAAGCUAAAGAAAUAGAAAUUUUAGUUCUAUUUGAUUGAGCAACAGCAACUUGAACCAAGCUGUUCUAAAGCGUCUUAACAACAUUUGGAUGGGCCUCUAAAAAUUGAGAGCAUUUCCUUCACUGUAUCAAAGAAACUCCAAGCGUGCGGAGAUCGAGAAAACUGAAUCAAAAUUCUUCUACAGGCCAAAAACCACAAUGAUAGAGAAGGAAAAGAAUGGAAAAAAAUGUUGUCAGGUAUGGUGCUAAGGUUCAUUUGCGAGGGGUUGUUGGAACAGCUGUCACCGCAUAACCCUUAACUUCUAAUGCUCUUGGAGAUAACCUGGAUAUAUGUCCUGGUUUACCUAAGGGGACCUAUGAUUCUGCUAGUAGUUUUGAACCCUCAUCGGUGAUCAAUAAUGAUUGGUUGAGUAGAAGUGAAGUGGGGAAGGUGCAUCAUCAGACCAUGAUACUUUCUAUCCAAUCUUGUUUUCAAACAGCGGGAGUUCAUACUAUUCAAUCAACCUCAUCUCUGAAUUUCAUUCACAAAAUCAUAGCAAUUGAUGUGGGAAACUCUAAUUUCAUAUUAUCGGCUAUUGAAGACAAUUGCGGUGAAGCUCUCAUCACCUCUAAAGUUCUGCCUAUGUCACCAGUGGUGAGAGUUCAUUCCCUGAAACAGAUUUCAUCAAUGGCAAUACUCAAGAAGAACCGAGUUUGAUAUUCCGAGUCACCAAGUGAGUGAGCCGAGUCAUCUGAUUCCCUAUUAACAGGAGACAGUUUUGAGGCUUCCAAGAGUGGAGAGCUGCUACAUGGCCUUCAUCCUAUUUGUAACUAGCAUGAUGGGGUCCCUGCUGGUAUCUUACUGGAUAUCUCACUUGAGCUUUUGGAGAACCAUAACAAUUAUGAGACUCUCUCUUCCACCUCCCCUUAAUUCGGAAGAUUGUGAGCUGCAGAGUAAUGGUUGGGCUACUAAUAAGGAGCCCAUGGCUAAUGAGCUUUCACAAUAUAACGGGCUUCUAAUCAAAACUCGGAUCUCAUCCCUUAUAACAGCCCAAAUCAUGAAGAAUAUCUAGACAUGAAAUUUCGGGCGAGCCUCUCUUACCAACAUCCAUUUCAAUUGACAAAAACUCAUCCAUUUCAGCUGAUAAAAACUAGGGUGUGCUUCCUUUCAAAACUUCAGCCUCUGGAAUCCUCAAGCAAUGGGGCAAGCCUAAGCUUCUCUUUGAUUUGCUAGAUUUCUCUCCCAAAUUGAACAGGGGAGGCAAGAAGGGACAGAAACAAAUUAAAGUGGGUAGGACCAAUCGAGAAGGUGGAAGUAGUUGUACUGAUGUCUCCCUCAAACCGAAUGUGGAAAUUGUCUGACUGAACAACUGGACAAGAGUGACAUCUGUUGGGUUAUUCCUAGACAUGCAAAGGACCAAACUUCUCGAGAUGAUGCGGGUUUGGAUGUAAAUUCUGAAGCAACUAUGUUGGGGAUUGGGAAGGAACUGGGUUUGACGAAUUCUGAAUCGGACGAGGCAACGUUGUUAUUUUUCUUAAAUCAGAUUAAAUCUUAUCAGGUUCAUCGCUCUAAUGCUGCAAUUUGAUUUGCUCUGUCAUUGGGUGCUGCUGGUCUCUUUAUUAUUAUUAUUAUUUUGAUUCUUGGGGUUUUUGAAACUGACUUGUUUGUCAAUAAAUCGAAGCCCACUUUAUAUUGAGACAAAAGCAAACCAUCGUCGUGGCCUUGCUCUUUCACCGUAAACCCUUAGGAGAGAUUUUCUUAGCACCAAAACAAGAACUGAAGGACACGAGUACACUGGAAUGUCGUUGUCGUUUACUUUGAAGCAACCGU
rnacentral:misc_RNA from 1 species